AGAUACCGUGGUAGUCCUAGUCCUAACCGAUGAUUGCUUGGUGUAGCAGGUACCCAAUCCUGCUGUCACGAAGGUAACGCGAUCAGCAAUCAUCCUGCGGAGUACGGUCGCAAGGAUGAAACUCAAUGGAAUUGACGGGGGCCCGCACAAGCGGUGGAGCAUGUGGUUCAAUUAGUUGCAACGAGAAGAACCUUCCUUGGGCUCGAAGCGCAGUGGACCGGGGUAUAAAUAUCCCUUCUCCUUAAAAGGGUGCUGAGGAGCUGCUGCAUGGCGGUCGUCAUCUCGUGUCGUGAGAUGUUGGGUUAAGUCCUGCAACGAGCGCAACCCUUAUCCCUAGUUGCCAUCGGGUCAAGCCGGGCACUUUAGUGAAACUGCCUGGGAUCAAGAGGAGGAAGGUGGGGAUGACGUCAAGUCCUCAUGGCCCUUAUGUCCAGGGCUACACACGUGGUACAAUGGUCGGUACAAACGGUCGCAAACUCGUGAGGGGGAGCUAAUUGGAAAAAGCCGGCCUCAGUUCGGAUUGGAGUCUGCAACUCGACUCCAUGAAGCUGGAAUCGCUAGUAAUCGCGGAUCAGCACGCCGCGGUGAAUACGUUCCCGGGCCUUGUACACACCGCCCGUCACAUCAUGAAAGUGGGCUGUACUAGAAGCUGGUGUGCUAACCGCAAGGGGGCAGCCAUCCAAGGUACAGUUCAUGAUUGGGGUGAAGUCGUAACAAGGUAACCGAUCCGAGCUCGAGCAGUAA
rnacentral:rRNA from 1 species